UACAGAGGUCUCAAGCGUUGUUCGGAUUCAUUGGGCGUAAAGGGUGUGUAGGUGGCGCCGUAAGUCGGGGUGUGAAAUUUCGGAGCUUAACUCCGAAACUGCAUUCGAUACUGCGGUGCUUGAGGACUGGAGAGGAGACUGGAAUUCAUGGUGUAGCAGUGAAAUGCGUAGAGAUCAUGAGGAAGACCAGUGGCGAAGGCGGGUCUCUGGACAGUUCCUGACACUGAGACACGAAGGCCCAGGGGAGCAAACGGG
rnacentral:rRNA from 1 species